UGAGUGAGUGACGCAGAGUUUCCGCACAAUGGCGUCCUUCACCAUGGCAGCCGCCAUCGCCCCUGCUGGCCUCGUCGCCCCUCUCGACCUCAGCUCCCGCACCGCCAUCUCUGGCUCCCGUGCUUCCGCGUUCGUUAAGAACUCCAAGGCCAGGACGACCUGCUCUGCAUCAUCCGUCGACGAAACCACCACUGUCGCGCAAGCCGCGGGGAAGUUCGCUACCGCGUUGGCGCUGGCUGCUCUCGUUGGCGGGAGUGAUAUGGUUGUGCCUGAGGCCAAGGCCGAUGUUGCUGGUCUGACCCCUUGC
rnacentral:lncRNA from 1 species